UACAGAGGUUCCAAGCGUUGUUCGGAUUCACUGGGCGUAAAGGGUGCGCAGGCGGUCGGGUAAGUCUGAUGUGAAAUCUCCGGGCUCAACCCGGAAAUGGCAUUGGAUACUAUCCGGCUGGAGGGUGGCAGGGGGGACUGGAAUUCUCGGUGUAGCAGUGAAAUGCGUAGAUAUCGAGAGGAACACCCGUGGCGAAGGCAAGUCCCUGGACAACUCCUGACGCUCAUGCACGAAAGCUAGGGGAGCAAACAGG
rnacentral:rRNA from 1 species